rnacentral:piRNA from 1 species
GCCAGAUGCAGUGCAGUGCGGCCAUCUC